rnacentral:hammerhead_ribozyme from 1 species
GUCCGUCUGACGAGGUCCAAAUAGAACGAAACGCGCGUCCUGGAU